UUGCAGCCCGACUUGAGCGGAAAUCCUUUUUGUGAGGCUAAAAGCACUGGCAAAAAGAUUGGGAGCGGAAGGCGGAUAAAGC
rnacentral:sRNA from 1 species